AACGAACGCUGGCGGCAUGCCUAACACAUGCAAGUCGAACGAGACCUUCGGGUCUAGUGGCGCACGGGUGCGUAACGCGUGGGAAUCUGCCCUUGGGUUCGGAAUAACUUCGGGAAACUGAAGCUAAUACCGGAUGAUGACGUAAGUCCAAAGAUUUAUCGCCCAAGGAUGAGCCCGCGUAGGAUUAGCUAGUUGGUGAGGUAAAGGCUCACCAAGGCGACGAUCCUUAGCUGGUCUGAGAGGAUGAUCAGCCACACUGGGACUGAGACACGGCCCAGACUCCUACGGGAGGCAGCAGUGGGGAAUAUUGGACAAUGGGCGAAAGCCUGAUCCAGCAAUGCCGCGUGAGUGAUGAAGGCCUUAGGGUUGUAAAGCUCUUUUACCCGGGAUGAUAAUGACAGUACCGGGAGGAAUAAGCUCCGGCUAACUCCGUGCCAGCAGCCG
rnacentral:rRNA from 1 species